UAUGUGCGGGGCCGGACAGCAAGCGCGGGAGGGAGUGUUGUGCACUGGCGGGCCGUGGCGCCCAGGGGCCUGGGUGCACCCGCUGGCCAAGCGGCAUCCCAAGCCCUGUGCGCUUCGCACCCGGCUUGUCGUCAGGGUAGCUCUGAGCCAGGUACUGAGAGUAGCAGCUGCGUGGCGCAGUCUACUUCUGAAAAGCCUGGAAGUGUAUGCACCCCCUCCCCGCCCCCCCUCCAUCUCCAGACCGGUGGUCUGUGUGGCGGAGCUCCGGGCCUUAGGGCUGGGCUGUCACAUACGGUAGUAAUGGCCAUGUGUGGCUAUUUGGAUUUGGAUAAAAUGUUAAGUUCAGUUCCUGGUGGCACUAGCCAUCUUUCAGGGUCUCAACGAGUGUGUGUAGGGUAGUGUGUAGCUAGUGGCAAUCAUAUUGGAUGGAGUGGAUGUUCAUUCCAUCAUCACAGAAAGUUCUGCUGGGAGGUGCUGCCUAGAGGGCGGGCAGGGCCCUGGGGACCAGGUUGUUUAGGAGGCGAGUGUUGGGGGCGGGAACAGCGGUCUGGUCAGCCCCCAUCCCACCUGGCAGGGUCCUGUCCCGAGGCCUGGGUCCAGAGGAGAGGGCUGCAGACCAGUGAGAGGCGCGGACGCCCAGUGAGCAAAACAUCGGUGGAGCUUGAUGGCUUGGAAGGCGAGGGGCCGCCAAGACGGUGCCGUUACCAUCAUUUGUGGUGUGGGGCAGAAGCUGCAGCUGACCCAGACGGCAUCCCCGGCUAGUAUUUAGCCCUUCUGGACUCUGUCCCCACCUGUAACCCGCCCAGCUUCGCAACCCACGGCUUUGGGCUCUGCUGAGUCGGGGGCUCCGUUCCCAGGGAGCACGCUUCCACCGGGGACACACACGCUCUGCUGUUGGGACACGGGGACCCCCCCGCCCCCCCGGCUGCAGUGACUGAUCCCGACUUGCCAGGAGGAGGACCCUGAGCUCAGGACACUCUGCCGGUGCGUCCAGGAGUCCUGCUUGCGGAGUAGAGAGGACAGCGGCCACAGCCCUGCAGAGGCAGCGCCACUCAGGGCCCCUCAGGACGAAGGCGUGAGUCACGUCACCAGAAGGACUACGAGGUGCUGGCUGAGGAGAACAGGAACACGAAAUGACUAGCGGGAGGGGGAAAUGUUAAACGCUGAUUGUGAUGUUUUAUCGAUUACCUUAAUAUGUAUACAGUGGCACAUACUAACCAGGGACUGUAUUCUUUGUAACUCAAAUUAUAACCCAAUUUCUCCUUUU